rfam:Otolemur garnettii contig037412, whole genome shotgun sequence.
AAACUGGCUUUAUUCAAAGCUAUUAACUUUUAAAAUCAAAGAAAUAU